rnacentral:rRNA from 1 species
UACGAGGGGGGCGAGCGUUGUUCGGAAUUAUUGGGCGUAAAGGGUGCGUAGGCGGUUUGGUAAGUCUUAUGUGAAAUCUACAGGCUCAACUUGUAGUCUGCAUGAGAAACUGCCGGGCUUGAGUAUGGGAGAGGUGAGUGGAAUUCCUGGUGUAGCGGUGAAAUGCGUAGAUAUCAGGGGGAACACCUGUGGCGAAAGCGGCUCACUGGACCAUAACUGACGCUGAUGCACGAAAGCUAGGGGAGCAAACAGG